rnacentral:pre_miRNA from 1 species
GAGAUACUCCCUCCGUCCGAAAAUACUUGUCAUCAAAAUGGACAAAAAAAGAUGUAUCUAGAACUAAAAUACAUCUAGAUACAUUCCCUUUUAUUCAUUUUGAUGACAAGUAUUUUCGGACGGAGGGAGUAUUAC